rnacentral:rRNA from 1 species
UACGUAGGCAGCGAGCGUUGUUCGGAGUUACUGGGCGUAAAGGGUGUGUAGGCGGUUCUUUAAGUUGGUUGUGAAAUCGUCCCGGCUCAACCGGGAGGGUGCGCCGAAUACUGAGGGACUCGAGUGCGGGAGAGGAAAGUGGAAUUCCUGGUGUAGCGGUGAAAUGACGUAGAUAUCAGGAGGAACACCGGUGGUGUAGACGGCUUUCUGGACCGUAACUGACGCUGGAGACACGAAAGCGUGGGUAGCAAACAGG